rnacentral:rRNA from 1 species
UACGUAGGGUCCGAGCGUUGUCCGGAAUUAUUGGGCGUAAAGGGCUCGUAGGCGGUUUGUCGCGUCGGGAGUGAAAACACACAGCUUAACUGUGUGCUUGCUUCCGAUACGGGCAGACUAGAGGUAUGCAGGGGAGAACGGAAUUCCUGGUGUAGCGGUGAAAUGCGCAGAUAUCAGGAGGAACACCGGUGGCGAAGGCGGUUCUCUGGGCAUUACCUGACGCUGAGGAGCGAAAGUGUGGGGAGCGAACAGG